rnacentral:lncRNA from 1 species
CAGUCCCCCAGCCAUUAUCACGCCUCGAAUAGUUAAGGCAACUCCCUAGUAUCCCCUAAUACUCUCCGUGCGCACUGCCGUGAGAGUUUCGGGAUGUCCGCAUCGUCGGAGCGUCCAGGCGGGACCGUGCACAUUGCGCGCGGCGGCUCCGCCCCUGCGACUCCGGGAUCCUCGGCCGCCCCGCCCCCGCCUCUCCUCGGGCCCGCGAUUUACUGAGGAAACGGGAUCUCUGCCCUGUGGGACGUCCGAGCCCUCGCAUUCGGCUCAGGCCUUACUGAUGAUGUCGUUUGACCUGUUUCUCUGUCCUCCAUGGUUCUCGGAAAUUCAUAGUCCGCUUUAAAGUCCUGAGGAGAGCCGCGCUCGCUUUUUCGAGCCUGCGCGCUUCGUCGGGAGGGCAGCCCGGUGGAGGCGCCUGGCGAAGCGGGGGCUUCAGCGGAGGUCGUCAGCCCGACCCCCGUUAGAAGGGUUCCCACCAAACCUCCUAAUGCUUUUCGAAUACACUGCGGGUCUCGUUUGUUUGUUUUUAACCCUUGGCUCACGAGCUGUAAGGAUGUAAACCCAAGGCCCUUGGUGUCCAAGUUCCGUGCGCCGAGGAACAAAACUGAGAAUAAGGGCAGGAAAAGACACAGAGAAUGCAAAACUGAAGCUGUGUUUCCGGCGCUGCGCCGCUGAGAGGCUCUCCUGGAGCCGCCGCGGGUGGGCCUGGUUGCUGGGUCUCGGGCCCCGCCUCCCGCACUCGCCGCCCCGCUGUGGCCGCGCUUUCUUCGGCAGAGGCCGUCGCGUCUGAAAAAUGGCUCCGCCCACCCUCGUCUCUGUUGGAAUGCCGACUGAUGUGUCUCUUCUGGAUGGUUUCUGAAUGUCGUUUUCUGUCAGGCAGGUGUGCUGCCUCAUCCAUUAGGACAACGUGCCAGAGCAAUAAAUCAUUGCCUACUGUUGGUAGCAAUGGCUGGAAAUUGGGUGUUAUGGUCUGACCAUUUGGUGAGCUCUGCACUGGAUGAAUCAUUUGAAGAGAUCCAGUGUCUGUUGGGUGAGACAACAGAGAAGCUAGUUUGUUUGCCUGUUCAUCUAUUUGGGCUCAAAUCAAUCAAGACUGUUGUGUGCCACCAAGAAGGAUGCUGUCAGCAGGUCAGACUCUGUUCUUGGUCAGCUGUAAGAGUUCCAAUGUAAUCAUCUAGGACUUCAGAGGAACAAAAAAGCAUCCAAGCACCCAACAGUGUUUUUGCCAGAAAAUCCUUCAUCCUUGUGACAAUGUAUAAUUCUGGUUCAUGCUAGGUUCACAAACUUCUUUAUUUCUGUAUCCUUCUUUGGCUACUCUUUGUCUAUGACCCAUAACUGUUGAUACCCCGAAGCCUUACUGCUUGGAUCCUGCUUUCCUCUUCAAUAACUUUGGGUAAGUUCAGCCACUUGGGGUUU